rnacentral:rRNA from 1 species
GCCCGAAGCCGAUUAUCUAACCUUUUGGAAGAAGUCGUCGAAGGUGGAAUCAAUAACUGGGGUGAAGUCGUAACAAGGUAGCCGUAUCGGAAGGGGCGGCUGGAUCACCUCCUUUCUAAGGAGA